UGCGCAGGCGGGCUUGUAAGUCAGUGGUGAAAUACUGCCGCUUAACGGUAGAACUGCCAUUGAUACUGCGAGUCUUGAAUAUGGUUGAGGUAGGCGGAAUGUGUUGUGUAGCGGUGAAAUGCAUAGAUAUGACACAGAACGCCGAUUGCGAAGGCAGCUUACUAAGCCAUUAUUGACGCUGAGGCACGAAAGCGUGGGGAGCGAGCAGGAUUAGAUACCCUGGUAGUCC
rnacentral:rRNA from 1 species